AAGUGGAUAGUGAAACCUGGUGGCUCAACCAUACAGACUAUUAUCCAAACUGCUAAGCUCGAGAAUGGUAGAGGUAGCUGGAAUUUCUUGUGUAGGAGUGAAAUCCGUAGAUAUAAGAAGGAACACCAAUGGCGUAGGCAGGUUACUGGACCAUUUCUGACACUGAGGCACGAAAGCGUGGGGAGCGAACCGGAUUAGAUACCCGGGUAGUCCACGCCGUAAACGAUGGAUACUA
rnacentral:rRNA from 1 species